AUCAAACGUUUCCGAUAGAGGUAUGGUUGAAAUCGCCGUCUAAAAGGUGAAGGAAUCCUGUCUUCUCGUUUCCGGGACACCGUUUCUCUUAAAGAGCCGGAUAUCUUUUGUGGCCGCGCGUCUUCUUUCACAAGUCGCCGACGCAGCGCGAUUCAAUUCGUUGUACUCGGGAGGUGGAGAAGGGAAGGCGGAGGACCGAAAGUUAGCUUAGACAUUUAAGCGUCAUUCUUCUUUCGUUUUUCAUCUUUGAUGACCUCGAUAUCUGCUUCAAGAGCACUGAUCAGCUUAAGACUAGAACUCUGAUCUCUGAUCUUGAUUCUCUCUGAUCUCGCUUUGAAGCGAUCUCUAUCUCUAGAUCUUUGUAUGUUCAGUGGAAUGAUCGAACUUGAUUAGUCCUUCCUCGGCUUUGGUUCUUGAUUAUGUCUUCUUGUUGUGGCGAUUGUGGUUGAUGUUGUUUGGUAGGAUCGAUGGCGAAUAUAGAAUCGACGGGAUCUUGAAGGAGUUGCCGAAGACGAAGAUAGUGUGCGCACUGGGGCCGGCAUCCAGAUCGGUGGCGAUGCUGGAGAAGCUGCUGAGAUCUGGCACGAACGUCGCCAGGUUCAACUUCAUGAGUACCACCAGGAGAGCAUCGACAACCUAGGAUCGCUGUGCAGAACUCUGGAAUCCUGUGUGCCGUCAUGCUCGACAACUUCAUGGGUCUAUUUCUUCAUUUUACUUGGUUGAGAACCAGGAGGGUGUAAUGAACUUGGAUCAAAUUUUGAAGGAGACCGAUUCUUUCGUGGUUGCUCGAGGAGAUGUUGGAAUUGACAAGACUUUCCUUGCUCAAAAGACGAUUCAUUCGUGGGAAGCUCGGACAUGGCAGUUUCAGUGGCAUAGCCGUGUUCGACAUGUGUCGGACACGAAUUCGUCAUCGACUCGAUCGAACACAUGUCGGACACGUGUUCAAUCGUAAUUUUGAUGGAUACACAGCACGGCAAGUCGGAUUCCUCAGCGCGAGCGGACUGCGAAGGCCUCUUGAAACCUCUGGAAUCCUUCUUCCUCAUGGAUUCAGGAGGAUUUCUUCCCUUUUACGAAUGGAUCGUCGGCGUUCAAUACCCCACCUGCGUCUUGAGCUGCCCCGACCGACCUUUCUGCUUCAUCGGCUUCCCUUCUUACUCAACGCCGAUGCCUCUGCCCCCGCCCCACCUGUGGAAGAGGCGGGCCCUGCCCCACCUACGGCGCGUCCACCGGUGUCCCGUCAGCAUCCUCUGCCCCCCGCACUUCGGUCGCCCACCUGCGUCACCGAUGAAGCCUCUGGCAUAGUCGCGCUGUCGGGCCCUCCGCCCCGAACCCCCCUCUGCCGUCGUGCUCUCCACCCCGAGUGACCCACCAGUGACCCGGCGGCUAUCGCGCGCUCUCGGGCCCUCGACGACUUCACCAGCAUCCGGCGAAGCUUCUUCCUCAGCCGUGUGGCUUAGUCGCAAGGUUGCAAGUCUUGCUUCUUGAGAUAGGCAAGAUAGUGAUGUUCAAGAAGACAACUUUUUCUUCUUGAAAUAAGCAAGUUAGCAAUCUUUGCUACUUAAUAUAGGUAAGCUAGCAAUCAAGUUUUUGCAUUUUCUUGACUUGUGCAAGCUAGCUAUCUCCCCCUUUGUCAUUGUCAAAAAGAAGGGAAGACCCUUUACAUCAAUUAUGACAAAGGUAAGUAUCAAUCUUAUUUGUGCAUCAUCAUAUUUACAAAUUAGAAUAUGCACAUUUUCA